ensembl:misc_RNA
AUAACAGCCCUUGGGACCAAACUAUUGUUUUUAUUCAUAAAACAGGUACAGCAUGGACAAUGGCAGUGCAAAAUUCCCUGCUCUUCCCUGUCUGUGUAUCUCAAACCUAACUAGGAGAGGACAGCCCUUAGUAGUGAAAAGGUACCUCAGUCACUAGGGCUAUCACUUUUUGGCUCUU